CAUUAUAAAAAUGUAAAAUAUUUUUAUAAUGUGACUGUAAUCAUAAUAUAAAAAUAAAAUGGAGAUUCAAUUCAACUAUAUAUUUGUGUGCAUUAAAACUAAAAAGUUUAGUUAAUUAUCACAGCUCAUCACAAAUUAAUCGGGGACAGUUGAUAUCAUAUAAUUAGCGAUUGAAAUAUAAAACUAGACUUAAAUAAAUACAAAUGGAGAUUCAAUUCAACUAUAUACCUGAAAACAGGGUUCGCUUCAGUUAAGAAAUCAUACAUUACUGCCCACACAGAUCCUACCAAAACAGUACAACAUGGAUUCUUAAACUACACCAACACCACACAGAUCAAGGAAUCAUGAAUAGCUACAACUGUCAUAGUACACGGCAACAACAGUUAGGUGGCUCAGAUCCAAUGAUAAGCAUCUUUCCAAAUGCAUACUUGCGGGCCAAAUCCAUCCGCUGAAGAAAUCCACCAACCUUGUUCAAAGUCACGAAGGAAACAGUGUUCUCAUCUUGGUAUUUGUAGUCACAGAACCAGAGAGAGUAUCCUUCAGGAUCAUACAUAUCCCAAAAUCCGGCAAGAUAGAAAAAGGUUUUAAAUUGAUCUUUGCCUAUACAGAAAUCUAUGACAUUCUUUGAAUUGACAGGAUAUUCAUAAAAACAAAUUUGGCAUUGAA